rnacentral:rRNA from 1 species
GAGGCAUUGGGGACGCAACGUCCUCGACCUAUUCUCAAACUUUAAAUUGGUAGGAUGGCUCGGGUGCUUCGGUGAGCCGUGCCACAGAAUCGGGUGCUCUAAGUGGGCCAUUUUUGGUAAGCAGAAGUGGCGAUGCGGGAUGAACCGGAAGCCAGGUUAUGGUGCCCAACUACGCGCUAACCCAGAACCCAAAAAGGGUGUUGGUCGAUUAAGACAGCAGGACGAUGGUCAUGGAAGUCGAAAUCCGCUAAGGAGUGAGUAAGAACACACCUGCCGAAUCAACUAGCCCCGGAAAUUGAUGGCGCUGAAGCGCGCGACCCACACCCGGACAUCUGGGUGAUCGCCAUGCCCCGAUGAGUAGGAGGGCCCGGCGGCCGCUGCAAAACCCGGGGAGCGAGCCCGGGCGGAGCGGCUGUCGGUGCAGAUCUUGGUGGUACUAGCAAAUAUUCAAAUGAGUACUUUGAAGGACGACGAGGAGAAUGGUUCCAUGUGAACGACAGUUGCACAUUGGUAAAACGAUUCUAAGGGAUGGGGUAACCCCGGCAGAUAGCGCGAUCACGCACAUCCCCCGAAAGGGAAUCGGGUUAAAAUUUCCCGAGCCAGGAUGUGGCGGUUGACGGCGACGUUAGGAAGUCCGAAUACGCCUGCGGGGGCCUCGGGAAGAGUUAUCUUUUCUGCUUAACGGCCUGCCAACCGUGGAAAUGGUUCAGCCGGAGGUAGGGUCCAGUGGAGGGAAGAGCACCGCACGUCGCGCGGUGUCCGGUGCGCCCCCGGCGGCCCAUGAAAAUCCGAAGGACCGAGUACCGUUCACGCCCAGUCGUACUCAUAACCACAUCAGGUCUCCAAGGUGAACAGCCUCUGCCUAAUGGAACAAUGUAGGCAAGGGAAGUCGGCAAAACGGAUCCAUAACUUCAGGUAAAGGAUUGGCUCUAAGGAUUGGGCUCGGGAGUCUCGGCGCCGAACCCGUCGGCUGUCGGCGGAUUGCUCAAGCUGCUCACACGGCUAGAGCGGGUUGUCGUGUGCCGUCUGGGGGACGGACCGCGAAUCGCCCCUUCGAGGGCUUUACCAGAUCAUGAAACAGUCGACUCAGAACUGGUACAGACAAGGGGAAUCUGUAUGUUUAAUUAAAAGAAAGCAUUGCGAUGGUCCUCGCGGAUGCUGACGCAAUGUGAUUUCGGACCAGUGCUCUGAAUGUCAAAGUGAAGAAAUUCAACCAAGCACGGGUAAACGGCGGGAGUAACUAUGACUCUUAAGGUAGCCAAAUACCUCGUUAUCUAAUUAAUGACGCGAAUGAAUGAAUUAACGAGAUUCCCACUAUCCCUGUCUACUAUCCAGCAAAACCAUUGCCAAGGGAACGUGCUUGGCGGAAUCAGCGGGGAAAGAAGACCCUGUUGAGAUUGACUCUAGUCCGACUUUGUGAAUUGACUUGAGAGGUGAAGGAUAGGUGGGGAGUUUAGCUGGGGCGGCACAUUUGUUAAAAGAGAACGCAGGUGUCCUGAGAUGAGCUCAACGAGAACAGAAAUAUCGUGUGGAAAAAAGGGUAAAAGGUCGUUUGAUUCUGAUUUCCAAUAUGAAUACGACCCGUGAAAGCGUGGCCUAUCGAUCCUUUAGAUCUUCGAAGUUUAAAGCUAGAGGUGUCAGAAAGGUUACCACACGGAUAACUGGCUUGUGGCAGCCAAGUGUUCAUAGCGAGGUUUCUUUUUGAUUCUUCGAUGUGAGCUCUUCCUAUCAUUGUGAAGCAGAAUUCACCAAGUGUUGGAUUGUUCACCCAACAAUAGGGAACGUGAGCUGGGUUUAGACCGUCGUGAGACAUGUUAGUUUUACCCUACUGAUGACAGUGUCGCGAUAGUAAUUCAACCUAGUACGAGAGGAACCGUUGAUUCACACAAUUGGUUAUCGCGCUUGGUUGAAAAGCCAGUGGCGCGAAGCUACCGUGUGCCGGAUUAUGACUGAACGCCUCUAAAUCAGAAUUCAAGCUAGCAUAGGACGCAUGCGCCCGCCGCUCGCCCUGAACCACGUUAGGGGCGCUUGCGCCCCCAAGGGCCCGUGCCAUUGGCUAAGCCGGUCCGGCCGACGUGUCGUGAUCAGCCGCCUCGAAGCUUCCUUCCCAACGGGCUGAAUCCUUUGCAGAUGACUUAAAUACGCGACGGGGCAUUGUAAGUGGCAGAGUGGCCUUGCUGGCACUAUCCACUAAGAUCUAGCCCCAUGUCGCACGGAUUCGUCCCUCCCCCACACC